rnacentral:rRNA from 1 species
UACAGGGGGUGCAAACGUUGCUCGGAAUCAUUGGGCGUAAAGCGCACGUAGGCGGUCUGUUAUGUCGGAUGUGAAAGCCCUUGGCUCAACUGAGGAAGUGCAUCCGAAACUGGCAGGCUAGAGUACUAAAGAGGGUCGCGGAAUUCCCGGUGUAGAGGUGAAAUUCGUAGAUAUCAGGAGGAACACCGAUGGCGAAGGCAGAUCUCUGGGCCGUAACUGACGCUGAGGAGCGAAAGCAUGGGGAGCGAACAGG